rnacentral:rRNA from 1 species
UGCUUACCAUGCAAGUCGAACGUUCCUCCGGCUUCGGCCGGUAAGGAAAGUGGCGAACGGGUGAGUAACACGUGAUUAACCUGCCCCUCACACCGGGAUAACUCAGAGAAAUCUGUGCUAAUACCGGAUACUCCGUUUCCGUCGCAUGACGGAUUCGGGAAAGCUCCGGCGGUGAGGGAUGGGAUCGCGGCCCAUUAGAUUGUUGGUGGGGUAACGGCCUACCAAGUCGACGAUGGGUAGCCGGGUUGAGAGACUGAUCGGCCACAUUGGGACUGAGACACGGCCCAGACUCCUACGGGAGGCAGCAGUGGGGAAUAUUGCGCAAUGGGGGAAACCCUGACGCAGCAACGCCGCGUGCGGGAUUGAAGGCCUUCGGGUUGUAAACCGCUUUCAGUAGGGACGAUUAUGACGGUACCUACAGAAGAAGCACCGGCUAAAUACGUGCCAGCAGCCGCGGUAAUACGUAUGGUGCAAGCGUUAUCCGGAUUUAUUGGGCGUAAAGAGCGCGUAGGCGGCUUAGCAAGUCAGGUGUUAAAUCCAGGGGCUCAACCUCUUGUUGCACCUGAAACUGCUAGGCUUGAGUUCGGUAGAGGAAAUUGGAAUUCCCAGUGUAGCGGUGGAAUGCGCAGAUAUUGGGAGGAACACCAGUGGCGAAGGCGGAUUUCUGGGCCGAUACUGACGCUGAGGCGCGAAAGCUAGGGGAGCGAACAGGAUUAGAUACCCUGGUAGUCCUAGCCGUAAACGAUGGGUACUAGGUGUGGGAGAUGUCGUGUCUUCCGUGCCGUCGCUAACGCAUUAAGUACCCGCCUGGGGAGUACGGCCGCAAGGCUAAAACUCAAAGGAAUUGACGGGGACUCGCCA